rnacentral:rRNA from 1 species
GACGAACCGAGCAAACGUUAUUCGGAAUCACUGGGCUUAAAGGGCGCGUAGGCGGGCAUCCAAGUCUGUGGUGAAAUCCGGCAGCUUAACUGUCGAACUGCCGUGGAUACUGGGUGUCUCGAGGGAGGUAGGGGCGUGCGGAACUAUUGGUGGAGCGGUGAAAUGCGUUGAUAUCAAUAGGAACUCCGGUGGCGAAGGCGGCACGCUGGACCUCUUCUGACGCUGAGGCGCGGAAAGCCAGGGGAGCAAACGGG